AUAGGAUUAUGUGACUGGCGGAUAGACAGAGGAGACUUUGUCUGAGUAGAAAAACUACAGGGAGCAUAAGCCUGAUGAACGCCGACCGCCUGGGCAAGCCGC
rnacentral:ncRNA from 2 species